AGUUACUGAUGAGUUAAUUACCUGAGGGUUAAUUUCUUUAUAGGUGUCUUUCCUCCCAGCAGUGAGUUAGCAUGAUCUAAUAAAUGUAGUCAUUCCUCCACUUUACAUUUAGGUGGGCAUCAAAGGUACAUGUGUGUGGUUCCCAUCACUCUGGAACUCAGUGUAUCAAUCUGACUCACACUUCAGCAUAACGUAGCAGUCUUUUGUAAAACACAGAAAUAGAUCAUUUACAAGCUUUAAUGUUCAUACUUACACAUCAUCCUACUUUAUCAGGCUGAUACAUGUAUUGAAAUGCAAUAGGGAUAUUGCAAUGCUGACUAUACAAAACAGUUUAUUAAGCAAACCCAAAACUAUUUCUAAACCAGCCUCCUAUAAACAUGCUAUUCUUGAAGGUAUACUGCAUGCUGUACAGCUUAAGAUUAGUUUAACAAAAACCGUUAAAAACUUAAAAAAUCACAUCAUUAUAUGCAUAACUUACUUUAAACAGCUGAUGAAUCAAAUGUAUAAAUGUACAGAAGUAAGACCUUUCUUCAGCUGGUACCAGAUUGAUAGGAUGUAUGAGAGUCCCAAUUGCAUAUUUAAUGAAAUGGUGGAGUGGUAGAGUCUCCUGAUUAUAAAAAGUCUUAUAACAGUAUUUUUGCUUUUUCUUCAUUUUUUACAGAGGUUGUUAAAAAAAUGCAUUUUUUUGAAAUCCGUGCCUGUAACUCCAUAGUUAAUAGAUAAAAAAUCCUGAUGCUAUGCAUGGUGCUGUGCUCACAUGAAUGGAUAAGGCCAAAAGGUGCCAGCUACAAAACACUAGUGGGAUCUGUGCUAGUCAGGUAACUCGAACAGUUGCCUGGUCGUAACACGCAGAGCUAAACGGCUAUGGAGAAAUGUUUGAACAUAAUUCUUAACUUGACAUUUUGAAAAAUAAAAGGAUGCUUCAAGGAUAAGAAGUCUUGAAAAUCAGAGAAUGGCAGCUGCAAUUCACUCUUCAAAAUAUGAAAUAUGUAUUAAAAAUGUUGGGUAAAAGUUUUAUUUGACACUGAAAGAUUAAUUUGAACAUUAUCUGGCAUUUAUAAUCAACCCUAUUACCUUGUCUCUUUUCCAUCAUUCAGGAUUUUUUUUAACAAAUGAUAGCAAAUAAGACUUGACUUAUGAUUGACUGACCUAAAAGAGUUAAAUGUGGGAAUUGCCAAACUGGAUCCAACCCUGAGUCCCAGGUUAUUGUUUCUGUCGGCAGUCAGCACCAUCUGCCCUGAAGUAAAGAACUCUAGCACAUAAUUUACAGGAUAAAUAAUCUCCACCAGGAGAUAGGUGAGAAGACUGGAUUUGGUCCUGAAACAUAGUGGUAGGGUUUGUUGUUUUUUGGGUUUUUUUGGUUUUGUUUUUUUUUAAUAUUUAUCAUUAUAAUUGUAUGUUAGCUACAUGUAUUUUUAAUUAAGUUCAGCUAUGUUUAUAAAAUACCAAACAUUGUUAAAAUAACUCCUAAAUCUGAAGAAUGCAAGUUCUUCAGAGAGAAAACAUGAAAUGAAGUUUUUACUUAAGUGUCUGCUAAUCAAUU